GACGAACGCUGGCGGCGUGCUUAAUACAUGCAAGUAGGACGCAGUUGCGAACGGGUGAGUAACGCGUAGGUAACUACCUAUUAGAGGGGGAUAACUAUUGGAAACGAUAGCUAAUACCGCAUACUAGUAGAUGGACCUGCGUUGUAUUAGCUAGUAGGUAGGGUAAUGGCCUACCUAGGCAACGAUACAUAGCCGACCGGAUAGGGGGAUAGGCCGCACUGGAGAUGAGACACGGCCCAGACGCAUACGGAAGACAGCAGUAGGGAAACUUCGGCAAUGGGGGGAACCCUGACCGAGCACCGCAGCGGGAGUGAGGAGGGUUGUCGGAACGUAAAGCUCUGUUAUUAAGGAAGCGGUACUUGACCAGAAAGGGACGGCUAACUACGAGCCAGCAGCCGCGGUAAUUG
rnacentral:rRNA from 1 species